rnacentral:rRNA from 1 species
ACAUGCAGUCGAACGAACCUUCGGGUUAGUGGCGGACGGGUGAGUAACGCGUGGGAAUCUGCCCUCAGGAGGGGGAUAACGGCUGGAAACGGCCGCUAAUACCCCAUAUGCCGAGAGGUGAAAUGAAUUUCGCCUGAGGAUGAGCCCGCGUCUGAUUAGCUAGUUGGUGAGGUAAGAGCUCACCAAGGCAUCGAUCAGUAGCUGGUCUGAGAGGAUGAUCAGCCACACUGGGACUGAGACACGGCCCAGACUCCUACGGGAGGCAGCAGUGGGGAAUUUUCCGCAAUGGGCGAAAGCCUGACGGAGCAACGCCGCGUGAGGGAUGAAGGCCUCUGGGCUGUAAACCUCUUUUCUCAAGGAAGAAGAUCUGACGGUACUUGAGGAAUAAGCCACGGCUAAUUCCGUGCCAGCAGCCGCGGUAAUACGGGAGUGGCAAGCGUUAUCCGGAAUUAUUGGGCGUAAAGCGUCCGCAGGCGGCCCUUCAAGUCUGCUGUUAAAAAGUGGAGCUUAACUCCAUCAUGGCAGUGGAAACUGUUGGGCUUGAGUGUGGUAGGGGCAGAGGGAAUUCCCGGUGUAGCGGUGAAAUGCGUAGAUAUCGGGAAGAACACCAGUGGCGAAGGCGCUCUGCUGGGCCAUAACUGACGCUCAUGGACGAAAGCCAGGGGAGCGAAAGGGAUUAGAUACCCCUGUAGUCCUGGCCGUAAACGAUGAACACUAGGUGUCGGGGGAAUCGACCCCCUCGGUGUCGUAGCCAACGCGUUAAGUGUUCCGCCUGGGGAGUACGCACGCAAGUGUGAAACUCAAAGGAAUUGACGGGGGCCCGCACAAGCGGUGGAGUAUGUGGUUUAAUUCGAUGCAACGCGAAGAACCUUACCAGGGUUUGACAUCCUGCGAACCUCUUGGAAACGAGAGGGUGCCUUCGGGAACGCAGUGACAGGUGGUGCAUGGCUGUCGUCAGCUCGUGUCGUGAGAUGUUGGGUUAAGUCCCGCAACGAGCGCAACCCACGUCUUUAGUUGCCAGCAUUUAGUUGGGCACUCUAGAGAGACCGCCGGUGAUAAACCGGAGGAAGGUGUGGAUGACGUCAAGUCAUCAUGCCCCUUACAUCCUGGGCUACACACGUACUACAAUGCUACGGACAAAGAGCAGCAAGUUCGCGAGGACAAGCAAAUCUCAUAAACCGUGGCUCAGUUCAGAUCGUAGGCUGCAACUCGCCUACGCGAAGGAGGAAUCGCUAGUAAUCGCAGGUCAGCAUACUGCGGUGAAUACGUUCCCGGGCCUUGUACACACCGCCCGUCACACCAUGGAAGUUGGCCACGCCCAAAGCCGUUACUCCAACCCUCGGGGAGGGA